CAUGGGCGAAACCCCGAUCUGCCAUGCCGCGUGAGUGAUGAAGGCCUUCGGGUUGUAAAGCUCUUUCGGCCGGGAAGAAAUGGAGAGGGCUAAUACCCUGUAUGGAUGACGGUACCGACCUAAUAAGCACCGGCUAACUACGUGCCAGCAGCCGCGGUAAUA
rnacentral:rRNA from 1 species